rnacentral:rRNA from 1 species
CCUACGGGUGGCAGCAGUGGGGAAUAUUGGACAAUGGGGGCAACCCUGAUCCAGCCAUGCCGCGUGUGUGAAGAAGGCCCUCGGGUUGUAAAGCACUUUCAGUGAGGAAGAACGCCUGGUGGUUAAUACCCAUCAGGAAAGACAUCACUCACAGAAGAAGCACCGGCUAACUCCGUGCCAGCAGCCGCGGUAAUACGGAGGGUGCGAGCGUUAAUCGGAAUUACUGGGCGUAAAGCGCGCGUAGGUGGCUUGAUAAGCCGGUUGUGAAAGCCCCGGGCUCAACCUGGGAACGGCAUCCGGAACUGUCAAGCUAGGGUGCAGGAGAGGAAGGUAGAAUUCCCGGUGUAGCGGUGAAAUGCGUAGAGAUCGGGAGGAAUACCAGUGGCGAAGGCGGCCUUCUGGACUGACACUGAUACUGAGGUGCGAAAGCGUGGGUAGCAAACAGGAUUAGAUACCCGAGUAGUC